rnacentral:lncRNA from 1 species
AUCCAUGGACUCAACAUUAGUCAUAAAGAACUCACAUACUUAUUGCAAAAAUCUACAAGUCAUCAAAACAAAGUACUACAUGCAUGCUCCUAGGGGAAGGGUUGGUAGGAGUUAACCAUCGCGUGAUCCCAACCUCCACUCAUAAGGAAGACAAUCAAUAAAUAAAUCAUGCUCCGACUUCAUCACAUAACGGUUCACCAUACGUGCAUGCUACGGGAAUCACAAACUUUAACACAAGUAUCUCUCAAAUUCACAACUACUCACUAGCAUGACUCUAAUAUCACCAUCUUCAUAUCUCGAAACAAUCAUAAGGAAUCAAACUUCUCUUAGUAUUCAAUGCACUUUAUAUGAAAGUUUUUAUUAUAUCCCUCUUGGAUGCCUAUCAUAUUACGACUAAAUUCAUAACCUAAGCAAAUUACCAUGCUGUUUAAGACUCUCAAAAUAAUAUAAGUGAAGCAUGCGAGUUCAUCAAUUUCUUCAAAAUGAAACCACCGUCGUGCUCUAAAAAGAUAUAAGUGAAGCACUAGAGCCAAUGACAAACUACUCCAAAAGAUAUAAGUGAAGAUCAAUGAGUAGUUGAAUAAUUAUGUAACUAUGUGAAGACUCCCUAACAUUUAAGAAUUUCAGAUCUUGUUAUUUUAUUCAAACAGCAAGAAAAACAAAAUAAAAUAAAAUGAUGCUUCAAGCAAAACACAUAUCAUGUGGUGAAUAAAAAUAUAGAUCCAAGUAAAGUUACCGAUGAACGAAGACGAAAGAGAGGAUGCCAUCCGGGGCAUCCCCAAGCUUAGGCUCUUGGUUGUCCUUGAAUAUUACCUGGGGUGCCUUGGGCAUCCCCAAGCUUAGGCUCUUGCCACUCCUUAUUCCAUAGUCCAUCGAAUGUUUACCCAAAACAUGAAAACUUCACAACACAAAACUCAACAGAAAACUCGUAAGCUCCGUUAGUAUAAGAAAAUAAAUCACCACUUUGUCUGAACUAAUUCUUUAUUUAUAUUGGUGUAAUAUCUACUGUAUUCCAACUUCUCUAUGGUUCAUACCCUCCGAUACUACUCAUAGAUUCAUCAAAAUAAGCAAACAACACAUAGAAAACAGAAUCUGUCAAAAACAGAACAGUCUGUAGUAAUCUGUAACUCUCGAAUACUUCUGUAACUCCAAAAAUUCUGAAAUAAAUUGGUGGACGUGAGGAAUUUGUCUAUUAAUCUUCUUAAAAAAGAAUCAACUUAAAAGCCUUCUUCUGUAAAACAUGACAGCUAAUCUCGUGAGUGCAAAGUUUCUGUUGUUUACAGCAAGAUCACAUUAACUUUCACCCAAGUCUCUCCAAAGGUUCUAUUUGGCACUUUAUUGAAACAAAAGUUAUAAAACAUGAUUACUACAGUAGCUUAAUCAUGUGGACACACAAAAACAGUAGGGGUAAAUAUUGGGUUGUCUCCCAACAAGCACUUUUGUUUAAUGCCUUUCUAGCUAGGCAUGAUGAUUUCAAUGAUGCUCACAUAAAAGAUAAGAUUUGAAACAUAAAGGGAGCAUCAUGAAGAAUAUAACUAGCACAUUUAAGCCUAACCCACUUCCUAUGUAUAGGUAUUUUGUGAGCAAACAACUUAUGGGAACAAGAAUCAACUAGCAUAGGAAAGCAAAACUUCAAGAUUUUAAGCACAUAGAGAGGAAACUUGAUAUCAUUGCAAUUCCUACAAGCAUAUACUCCUCCCUCAUAAUAACUUUCAGUAGCAUCAUGGAUGAAUUAAACAAUAUAACCAUCACAUAAAUCAUUCUUUUCAUGAUCUACAACUAUAGAAAUUUUACUAGUCUCCACAUAAGCUAAUUUCUUCUCAUGAAUAGUAGUGGGAGCAAACUCAACAAAAUAACUAUCAUGUGAGGCAUAAUCCAAUUGAAAAUUAAAGUCAUGAUGACAAGUUUCAUGGUUAUCAUUAUUCUUUAUAGCAUACAUGUCAUCACAAUAAUCAUCAUAGAUAGAAACUUUGUUCUCAUCAUAAUCAAUUGGAACCUCUUCCGAAAUAGCGGAUUCAUCACUAAAUAAAGUCAUGACCUCUCCAAAUCCACUUUCACCAUCAUUAUAAGAUUCAACACCCUCCAAAAUAGUGGGAUCAUUAACUAAGGUUGACACUCUUCCAUACCCACUUUCAUCAACAUAAUCAUCAUAAAAAGGAGGCAUGCUAUAAUCAUAAUAAAUUUGCACAUCAAAACUUGGGGGACAAAAAUUAUCAUCUUCAUCAAACAUAGCAUCCCCAAGCUUGUGGCUUUGCAUAUCAUUAGCAUCAUGGAUAUUCAAAGAAUUCAUACUAACAACAUUGCAAUCAUGCUCAUCAUUCAAAGAUUUAGUGCCAAACAUCUUAUAAACUUCUUCUUGUAACACUUGAGCACAAUUUUCCUUUCCAUCAUUUUCACGAAAGAUAUUAAAAAGAUGAAGCAUAUGAGGCAACCUCAAUUCCAUUUUUUGUAAUUUUCUUUUAUAGACUAAACUAGUGAUAAAACAAGAAACUAAAAGAUUCGAUUGCAAGAUCUAGAGAUAUACCUUCAAGCACUAGCCUCCCCGGCAACAGCGCCAGAAAAGAGCUUGAUGUCUACUACGCAACCUUCUUCUUGUAGAUGUUGUUGGGCCUCCAAGUGCAGAGGUUUGUAGGACAGUAGCAAAAUUCCCUCAAGUGGAUGACCUAAGGUUUAUCAAUCCGUGGAAGGCGUAGGAUGAAGAUGUUCUCUCUCAAACAACCCUGCAACCAAAUAACAUAUAGUCUCUUGUGUCCCCAACACACCCAAUACAAUGGUAAAUUGUAUAGGUGCACUAGUUCGGCGAAGAGAUGGUGAUACAAGUGCAAUAUGGAUGGUAGAUAUAGGUUUUUGUAAUCUGAAAAUAUAAAAACAGCAAGGUAGCAAGUGGUAAAAGUGAGCGUAAAUGGUAUUGCAAUGCUAGGAAACAAGGCCUAGGGUUCAUACUUUCACUUGUGCAAGUUCUCUCAACAAUAAUAACAUAAUUAGAUCAAAUAAAAAUCCCUCAACUUGCAACAAAGAGUCACUUCAACGUCACUAAUAGCGGAGAACAAACGAAGAUAUAAUUUUAGGGUACGAAACCACCUCAAAGUUAUUCUUUCCGAUCAAUCCAUUGGGCUAUUCCUAUAAGUGUCACAAACAUCCCUAGAUUUCAUAGUAAAAUAACACCUUAGGACACGAAUCAACCAAAACCCUAAUGUAACCUAGAUACUCCAAUGUCACCUCAAGUAUCCGUGGGUAUGAUUAUACGAUAUGCAUCACACAAUCUCAGAUUCAUCUAUUCAACCAACACAAAGAACUUCAAAGAUUGCCUCAAAGUUUCUACCGGAGAGUCAAGACGAAAACGUGUGCCAACCCCUAUGCAUAGUUUCCCAAGGUCACGGAACCCGCAAGUUGAUCACCAAAAAAUACAUCAAGUGAAUCAAUAGAAUACCCCAUUGUCACCACGGGUAUCCCACGCAAGACAUACAUCAAGUUUCUCAAAUUCUUAAAGACUCAAUCCGAUAAGAUAACUUCAAAGGGAAAACUCAAUUCAUCACAAGGAGAUAGAGGGGGAUAAACAUCAUAAGAUCCAACUAUAGUAGCACAGCUCGCUUUACAUCAAGAUCAUGCCACAUCAAGAACACGAGAGAGAGAUGAAACACAUAGCUACUGGUACAUACCCUCAGCCCCGAGGGUGAACUACUCCCUCCUCGUCAUGGAGAGCGCCGGGAUGAUGAAGAUGGCCACUGGUGAUGGAUCCCCCCUCCGGCAGGGUGCCGGAACAGGGUCCCGGUUGAUUUUUGGUGGCUACAGAGGCUUGCGGCGGCGGAACUCCCGACCUAGGUUAUUUUCUGGAGGUUUUGGGAUUUAUAGGAGAGGUUGGCAUCGAGAACAAGUCAGGGGGCCCCACAGGAAGUCCACAAGGCACAGGGGCGCGCCCCAGGGGGGUGGGCGCGCCCUCCACCCUCGUGGGGCCCACAGGACUCCCCUCCGGUAACUCUUCCUUCGAGUAUUUUUUAUAUUUUCCAGAAAAAAUCUCCGUCGAUUUUCAGCGCAUUCCGAGAACUUUUAUUUCUGCACAAAAACAACACCACAGGAAUUCUGCUGAAAACAGCGUCAAUCCGGGUUAGUUCUAAUCAAAUCAUACCAAAAUCAUGUUGAAAUAUUAUAAACAUGGCAUGAAUACAUAAAAAAUUAUAGAUACGUUGGAGACGUAUCAGCAUCUCCAAGCUUAAUUCCUGCUCGUCCUUGAGUAGGUAAAUGAUAAAAACAGAAUUUUUGAUGUGGAAUGCUACCUAAAAUAUUUAUCAAUGUAAUCUCUCUUUAUUGUGGCAAGAAUAUUCAGAUCCGAAAGAUUCAAGACAAAACUUUAAUAUUGACAUAAAAACAAUAAUACAUCAAGCAUACUAACAAAGCAAUCAUGUCUUCUCAAAAUAACAUGGCCAAAGAAAGUUAUCCCUACAAAAUCAUAUAGUCUGGCUAUGCUCUAUCUUCAUCACACAAAAUAUUUAAAUCAUGCACAACCCCGGUUUCAGCCAAGGAAUUGGUUCAUACUUUUGAUGUUUUCAAACUUUCUCAAUCUUCACGCAAUACAUGAGCGUGAGCCAUGGACAUAGCACUAUAGGUGGAAUAGAAUCGUGGUUGUGGAGAAGACAAAAAGGAGGAAGAUGGUCUCACAUUAACUAGGCAUAUUAAUGGGCUAUGGAGAUGACCAUCAAUAAAUAUCAAUGUGAGUGAGUCGGGAUUUCCAUGCAACGGAUGCACUAGAGCUAUAAAUGUAUGAAAGCUCAACAAAAGAAACUAAGUGGGUGUGCGUCCAACUUGCUUGCUCACGAAGACCUAGGGAAUUUUGAGGAAGCCCAUCAUUGGAAUAUACAAGCCAAGUUCUAUAACAAAAAUUCCCACUAGUAUAUGAAAGUGACAAAAUAGGAGACUCUCUAUCAUGAAGAUCAUGGUGCUACUUGGAAGCACAAGUGUGGUAAAAGGAUAGUAGCAUUGCCCCUUCUCUCUUUUUCUCUCAUUUUUUUCUUUUUAUUUUAUUUUUUUAUUUUUCAUCCGGAGUCUCAUCCCGACUUGUGGGGGAAUCAUAGUCUCCAUCAUCCUUUCCUCACAUGGGACAAUGCUCUAAUAAUGAAGAUCAUCACACUUUUAUUUACUUACAACUCAAGAAUUACAACUCGAUACAUAGAACAAAAUAUGACUCUAUAUGAAUGCCUCCGGCGGUGUACCGGGAUGUGCUAUGAAUCAAGAGUGACAUGUAUGAAAGAAUUAUGAAAGGUGGCUUUGCCACAAAUACGAUGUCAACUACAUGAUCAUGCAAAGCAAUAUGACAAUGAUGGAGCGUGUCAUAAUAAACGGAACGGUGGAAAGUUGCAUGGCAAUAUAUCUCGGAAUGGCUAUGGAAAUGCCAUAAUAGGUAGGCAUGGUGGCUGUUUUGAGGAAGGUAUAUGGUGGGUGUAUGGUACCGGCGAAAGUUGCGCGGCACAAGAGAAGCUAGCAAUGGUGGAAGGGUGAGAGUGUGUAUAAUCCAUGGACUCCACAUUAGUCAUAAAGAACUCAUAUACUUAUUGCAAAAAUCUACAAGUCAUCAAAACAAAGUACUACACGCAUGCUCCUAGGGGAAGGGUUGGUAGGAGUUAACCAUCGCGCGAUCCCGACCUCCACUCAUAAGGAAGACAAUCAAUAAAUAAAUCGUGCUCCGACUUCAUCACAUAACGGUUCACCAUGGUGCAUGCUACGGGAAUUACAAACUUUAACACAAGUAUCUCUCAAAUUCACAACUACUCACUAGCAUGACUCUAAUAUCACCAUCUUCAUAUCUCAAAACAAUCAUAAGGAAUCAAACUUCUCUUAGUAUUCAAUGCACUUUAUAUGAAAGUUUUUAUUAAAUCCCUCUUGGAUGCCUUAUUAGGACUAAAUUCAUAACCCAAGCAAAUUACCAUGCUGUUUAAGACUCUCAAAAUAAUAUAAGUGAAGCAUGAGAUUUCAUCAAUUUCUUCAAAAUAAAACCACCGUCGAGCUCUAAAAAGAUAUAAUUGAAGCACUAGAGCCAAUGACAAACUACUCCAAAAGAUAUAAGUGAAGAUCAAUAAGUAGUUGAAUAAUUAUGUAACUAUGUGAAGACUCUCUAAAAUAUAAGAAUUUCAGAUCUUGGUAUUUUAUUCAAACAUAAAGCGAAACAAAAGAAAAUAAAAUGACGCUCCAAGCAAAACACAUAUCAUGUGGUGAAUAAAAAUAUAGCUCCAAGUAAAGUUACCGAUGAACGAAGACGGGAUAGGGGGUGCCAUCCGGGGCAUCCCCAAGCCUAGGCUCUUGGUUGCCCUUGAAUAUUACCUUGGGGUGCCUUGGGAAUCCC